UACUUAAGGUAUAAAUACGGAUGCUUUGCGCCGCCUCAGUCUCUUGGAGAACCGCUUCUGCUGUGGCCGCUUUCCCUCUGAACUCUGGAUUUCACAUGACUGCUUCAGGGAAAGAAGAGGAACCAUGUACUAAUUUCAUCCAUUGACCUGAUUACGGUUUGGAGUUCACUAAUGCUGAAUUGUGAUUUUUUGGUUUUUUUUGUCAGUAGUGUCUAAGUCGGCCUGGGCGCUGUCCCUGAGCUCUUAAGCUCAAGACUAGCGUUCUACCACUUGAGCCAUCUUCCCAGCCCUUUACCAGCAUUCUUUUCCAGGCAUAAUUGGGUGGGUGGAUUGUCUCC